ensembl:misc_RNA Y_RNA Y RNA
AGCUGGUCUGAGUGCAGUGGUAUUUACAACUAAUUGAUCACAACCAGUCACAGAUUUCUUUGUUCUUUUUCUACUCCCACUGCUUCACUUAACUAGCCUUAA